GCUGUGCUGUGCUGUGCUGUGCUGUGCUGUGCUGUGCUGUGCUGUGCUGUGCUGUGCUGUGCUGUGCUGUGCUGUGCUGUGCUGUGCUGUGCUGUGCUGUGCUGUGCUGUGCUGUGCUGUGCUGUGCUUCCUUCUCCGUUGAUCUGGAGUGGUCUCUCCCAUCGGGAAAUGUGUGUGGAGUAUUACAGCUGAAGAGUUAUCGUGAAGGAAGAAGAGUGUGGCUUGUUGGACCCAAGGGCAGUGAAAGAGAGUGGAAUUCGUCGCCUGGACUGGGAGAGAGUGAAGGAUUAUCAGGGAAAAUUCAAGGAAUAUCGUCAGCAGUGGGAAAGACGCCAGUGAUGAGUAUUUGAUCCGUUGUUUAUAUGCACUAAACACUGAAGUGGUAUUGAGAGUUCGGAUAGUGUGUGGCACGAGUGAAUUAGUACACCGAGUGGAUUGUUGAUCUGACUCUAACUUCUGUCCUCCCCUUUGCUGAAUGUGACGAUAUCUGCACCCGCUUUUCUCUGGAGAGAAAUUGAACCCUUGCACGGACGAGAUUUGAUAUUGUGGGAGAAGGACCGGAGGGGUGAGUGCUGGCCCGAAUGCACGGUGUGCGAGUGAGAUGCUGUGCCUGAAGUGACGAUUCACACGGUUUGUGUUAUGGAGUGAGGUUUAUUGUGUGGAGAAGUAAUAGUAGUCUGCUGUGCACUCUCCUCCCAGUCUUUCAUCCGCUGUCUCCAGGGAAGGGCUUUUUGAUACCACAAAGCGCCCGAUUUAUUACUUCAAGGCAACCCGGCUCUGUCAAUUCUGAAGGUUUUACAUGCUGUUGAACAGUUAAACCCGGCUGUAUCGUUCCAGUGAAUAGCUGAAGUGGAGUGUUCCGCUCAAAGUGUCCUCUCCGCCUGGUGGUCUCCACAUGUCCCCGCCGAAAGCCUCUGUCCUGGUCAGAAAGGAAGAAGCGAAAGCCCCGCUCAGCUUGUGACCUGAGUUUGUUGCAGCUCUGAAACCCAUCGGUGUAGUGUGAAGUACCCGUCCACUAUUCGCCACUGAGUCCGGCGUCAGCGCCAGAAGGGAGUAAGCUCCGACUCACCUGUUCCCUUGGGACACCCACCUGUUUCUUACUCACCACUGUGAGCCCGGCGUCAGUGCCAGAAGGAAGUGAGCCCCGAUCCACAUACCUACCUAGGACACCCACCGUCCAUUACUCACUACCGUGAGUCUGACACCGUUGCCCGACAAGGCUUGCUUUGGAUUCCUAGGAAGAGGAAGGAAGAGGAUUUUAGAUUAGGGUUUUCAAAUUACUUUUAAAUAUAAAAUAAAGCUUGUGAUUCUUUUA